rnacentral:rRNA from 1 species
AGCAGCCGCGGUAAUUCCAGCUCCAAUAGCGUAUAUUAAAGUUGUUGCAGUUAAAAAGCUCGUAGUUGAACUUCGGGGUUUACCCAUUGGUCAGGCUUAAUUGUCUGUACUGGUGAGAUAAAUCUCUACCUUCUGAGGAACUUUCAUGUCAUUAAUUUGGUGUGAUUGGAAAUCAGGACUGUUAUUUUGAAAAAUUAGAGUGUUUAAAGCAGGCUAACGUCUGAAUACAUUAGCAUGGAAUAAUGAAAUAGGACGGACUGAUUCUAUUUCGUUGGUUUCUAGGAUCACCGUAAUGAUUAAUAGGGAUAGUUGGGGGCAUUAGUAUUCAAUUGUCAGAGGUGAAAUUCUUGGAUUUAUUGAAGACUAACUACUGCGAAAGCAUUUGCCAAGGAUGUUUUCAUUAAUCAAGAACGAAAGUUAGGGGAUCGAAGACGAUCAGAUACCGUCGUAGUCUUAACCAUAAACUAUGCCGACUAGGGAUCGGAUGAUGUUAAUUUUUAAUGACUCAUUCGGCGUACCG